GACGAACGCUGGCGGCGUGCUUAAUACAUGCAAGUCAACUGAACUUAAGAUAGCAAUAUUUUAAGGGGGGUGGCGCACGGGUGAGUAACACGUAGGUAAUCUGCCUUUAGGUCUGACACAACCCCGAGAAAUCGGGGCUAAUAUCAGAUGAUGCAGCGGCUCGACAUCGAGACAGUUGUUAAACCUUCGGGGCCUAAAGAUGAGCCUGCGUCUGAUUAGGUAGUUGGCGGAGUAAAGCCCACCAAGCCUGCGAUCAGUAGCUGGUCUGAGAGGAUGAUCAGCCACACUGGAACUGAGACACGGUCCAGACUCCUACGGGAGGCAGCAGUAAGGAAUAUUGCUCAAUGGCCGAAAGGCUGAAGCAGCAACGCCGCGUGGAGGAUGAAAUACUUUUGUAUGUAAACUCCUGUAAGAAGGGAAAAUAUUCCGAUUUAUCGGAAUUGAUUGUACCUUCAGAGUAAGCCCCGG
rnacentral:rRNA from 1 species